GCCUGUUUUUUCAAAAACAUUGCCUUCAGCCUUAAUAUUAAAGGUAAAUCUGCCCAGUGAUACAGUAAUAACUCUAUUAAAUUCAACGGCCGCGGUAUUCCUGACCGUGCUAAGGUAGCACAAUAAUGAGCCUUCUAAUUAAGGGAUAGAAUGAAUGAAUUAACAAGAAAUAAUCUGUCUCUUUUUUGUUUAAUUGAAAUUUAGGUUUAGGUGAAAAAUCCUAAAUUUAGCACAAAGACAGAAAGACCCUAUAAGCUUUUAUCCUAAUAUUUUAUAAAUAAAACGAUAUUUAAUUGGGGCGAUUUCAAGGUGCCAACACUUACUACAUCAAGAAAUAUAUAUCGUAUAGCCUAUCUACUAGCAUACAAGUAAGUUACUAUAGGGAUAACAGGCUAAUACUUCUUGAGAGCACAUAUCUACAGAAGUGCUUAGCACCUCGAUGUUGGCUUAAGGAUCCCAAUUUANCGCAGAGUAAAAAAGGGGGGUUUGUUCAACCUUUAAUUCCUUACAUGAUCUGA
rnacentral:rRNA from 1 species